rnacentral:miRNA from 1 species
GGGAUAUUAAGAAAAAA